ACGCUGGCGGCAUGCCUAACACAUGCAAGUCGAACGAGACCUUCGGGUCUAGUGGCGCACGGGUGCGUAACACGUGGGAAUUUGCCUCGGGGUAUGGAAUAACUCAGGGAAACUUGAGCUAAUACCAUAUAAUGUCUUCGGACCAAAGAUUUAUCGCCCUGAGAUAAGCCCGCGUAGGAUUAGCUAGUCGGUGGGGUAAAGGCUCACCAAGGCGACGAUCCUUAGCUGGUCUGAGAGGAUGAUCAGCCACACUGGGACUGAGACACGGCCCAGACUCCUACGGGAGGCAGCAGUGGGGGAAUAUUGGACAAUGGGCGAAAGCCUGAUCCAGCAAUGCCGCGUGAGUGAUGAAGGCCUUCGGGUUGUAAAGCUCUUUUACUCGGGACGAUAAUGACGGUACCGAGAGAAUAAGCCCCGGCUAACUCCGUG
rnacentral:rRNA from 1 species